GUGAAAUUGUUGAAAGGGAAGCGCUUGAGACCAGACUCAAUCUUAGGUGAUCAGCCGUGCUUCUGUACGGUGCACUUGCCUUUGAUUGGGCCAGCAUCAGUUCUGACGGUGGGAUAAAAUGCGAAGGAAUGUGGCUCUCUUCGGGGAGUGUUAUAGCCUUUGUAACAAUGCCACCAGUUGGGACUGAGGACCGCGCUUCGGCUAGGAUGCUGGCGUAAUGGUCUUAAGCGACCCGUCUUGAAACACGGACCAAGGAGUCUAACACCUAUGCGAGUGUUCGGGUGGAAAACCCUUGCGCGUAAUGAAAGUGAACGGAGGUGUGAACCCCUCGGGGUGCAACAUCGACCGAUCCUGAUGUUUUCGGAAGGAUUUGAGUAAGAGCAUAGCUGUUGGGACCCGAAAGAUGGUGAACUAUGCCUGAAUAGGGUGAAGCCAGAGGAAACUCUGGUGGAGGCUCGCAGCGGUUCUGACGUGCAAAUCGAUCGUCAAAUUUGGGUAUAGGGGCGAAAGACUAAUCGAACCAUCUAGUAGCUGGUUCCUGCCGAAGUUUCCCUCAGGAUAGCAGUAACGAUUUCAGUUUUAUGAGGUAAAGCGAAUGAUUAAA
rnacentral:rRNA from 1 species